rnacentral:rRNA from 1 species
GCUGCAGUGGGCAUCAUGGCUGCCCCUGGGGAGCCCGGCGGGACCCAGCGCACCCCGCCGCGCGCUCAGGGAGGUGUCGAGCUGCAGGAGGCAAGGAUUCUGUCGUCCCAGUCUUCCCCCGCCCUCGCUCUUGUCGUCGUUUAAUUGAAACAAAGCAUCGUGGGGCAGCCCUGGUGGCUUAGCGCCUGCCUUCAACCCAAGGCGUGAUCCUGGAGACCCGGGAUCGAGUCUCACGUCGGGAUCCCGGCAAGGAGCCUGCUUCUCCCUCUGCCUGUGUCUUUGCCUCUCUCUCUCUCUCUCUUCAUGGAUAAAUAAAAUCUUUAAAAAAAAACAACAACAAAGCAUCGUGAAGGCCUGCAGCAGGUGUUGACGCCAUGCGAUUUCUGCCUAGUACUCUGAAUGUCAAAGUGAAUAAAUUCAAUGAAGCAUGGGGACACGGCCGGAGUAACUUAUGACUAUCUUAAGGUAGCGAAACGCUCAUCAUCUAAUUAGUGACUCGCAGGAAUGAAUCCAGGAAUGGAUGAGCGAGAUUCUCACUGUCCUACCUACUAUCCAGUGAAACCACAGCCAAGGGAAAGGGCUUGGCAUAAUCAGCGGGGAAAGAAGACCCUUUUGAUCUUGACUCUAGGCUGGCACGGUGAAGACUUAAGAGGUGUAGAAUAAGUGGGAGGCCCUGGCGCCCUUGGGGCGAGGGGGCGGGGUGAUGUCUGCCAGCUUUGUGGGACGCUGGUGAAAUACCACUAUUCUUAUCAUUUUUUCACUGAUCCCGUGAGGUAGGAGGGCGAGCCCUUGCUUCUUGUGCCAAGUGCCUGGUGGCGCCAGCUGUGAAAGACCUGCUCUGGGGACAGUGCCAGGUGGGGAGUUUGGGGCGGUACACCUGUCAAAUGCUAACUGCAGGUGUCCUAAGGUGAGCUCAGGGAGGACAGAAACCUCCAGUGGAGCAAAAGGGGAACAGCUCACUUGAUCUUGAUUUUCAGUAUGAAUAGAGACUGUGAAAGCGGGGUCUCAGGAUCCUUUGAACCUUUUGGGUUUUAAGCAGGAGGUGUCAGAAAAGUUACCACAGGGAUAACUGGCUUGUGGCAGCCAAGCGUUCAUAGCGACAUCGCCUUUUGAUCCUUCGAUGUCGGCUCUUCCUAUCAUUGUGAAGCAGGAUUCACCAACCACUGCAUUGUUCAGCUACUAAUAGGGAACAAUUAGACCUAAUUGGGUUUAGACCAUCGUGAGACAGGUUAGUUUAACCCUACUAAUGAUGUGUUGUUGCUAUGGGAACCCUGCUCAGUACAAGAGGAACCGCAGGUCCAGGCUUUUCAUGUAUUUGCUUGGCUGAGGAGCCAAGGGGGUGAAGCUACCAUCUGUGGGAUUAUGACUGAAUGCCUCUAAGUCAGAAUCCCGCCCAGUCAGAACCGUCAGGCAGCACCCCUGAGCCCAGGUUGGCCUUGGAUAGCUGAUCCCCCACUGUCCCCGCAAGCGGCCGGGCACCCCACAUAGCAGGGUGUGGUGUGCCCCACUGCACAUCGGGGCAGGGGUCCUGUGCAGAGAGACCCUCCUCCAGGGAAACAGGGCACAGCCAGAAAGGGGGCCAUCCCCUCGCUCCUC